rnacentral:rRNA from 1 species
GUGGGGAAUCUUCCGCAAUGGACGAAAGUCUGACGGAGCAACGCCGCGUGAGUGAUGAAGGUCUUCGGAUUGUAAAGCUCUGUUAAUCGGGACGAAAGAGCCUAGUGUGAAUAAUGCUAGGAAGUGACGGUACCGGAAUAGAAAGCCACGGCUAACUACGUGCCAGCAGCCGCGGUAAUACGUAGGUGGCAAGCGUUGUCCGGAAUUAUGGGGCGUAAAGCGCGCGCAGGCGGAUCUGCCAGUCUGUCUUAAAAGUUCGGGGCUUAACCCCGUGAUGGGAUGGAAACUACAGAUCUAGAGUAUCGGAGAGGAAAGUGGAAUUCCUAGUGUAGCGGUGAAAUGCGUAGAUAUUAGGAAGAACACCAGUGGCGAAGGCGACUUUCUGGACGAAAACUGACGCUGAGGCGCGAAAGCCAGGGGAGCGAACGGGAUUAGAUACCCUAGUAGUCC